ACGCUGGCGGCGUGCUUAACACAUGCAAGUCGAACGGUGAACACGGAGCUUGCUCUGUGGGAUCAGUGGCGAACGGGUGAGUAACACGUGAGCAACCUGCCCCUGACUCUGGGAUAAGCGCUGGAAACGGCGUCUAAUACUGGAUAUGUGACGUGACCGCAUGGUCUGCGUCUGGAAAGAAUUUCGGUUGGGGAUGGGCUCGCGGCCUAUCAGCUUGUUGGUGAGGUAAUGGCUCACCAAGGCGUCGACGGGUAGCCGGCCUGAGAGGGUGACCGGCCACACUGGGACUGAGACACGGCCCAGACUCCUACGGGAGGCAGCAGUGGGGAAUAUUGCACAAUGGGCGCAAGCCUGAUGCAGCAACGCCGCGUGAGGGACGACGGCCUUCGGGUUGUAAACCUCUUUUAGCAGGGAAGAAGCGAAAGUGACGGUACCUGCAGAAAAAGCGCCGGCUAACUACGUGCCAGCAGCCGCGGUAAUACGUAGGGCGCAAGCGUUAUCCGGAAUUAUUGGGCGUAAAGAGCUCGUAGGCGGUUUGUCGCGUCUGCUGUGAAAUCCGGAGGCUCAACCUCCGGCCUGCAGUGGGUACGGGCAGACUAGAGUGCGGUAGGGGAGAUUGGAAUUCCUGGUGUAGCGGUGGAAUGCGCAGAUAUC
rnacentral:rRNA from 1 species